rnacentral:rRNA from 1 species
AUUGAACGCUGGCGGCAGGCUUAACACAUGCAAGUCGAGCGGAGCGAGGGUGCUUGCACCUUAGCUUAGCGGCGGACGGGUUAGUAAUGCUUAGGAAUCUGCCUAUUAGUGGGGGACAACAUUCCGAAAGGAAUGCUAAUACCGCAUACGCCCUACGGGGGAAAGCAGGGGAUUUUCGGACCUUGCGCUAAGAGGUGAGCCUAAGUCGGAUUAGCUAGUUGGUGGGGUAAAGGCAUACCAAGGCGACGAGCUGUAGCGGGUCGGAGAGGAUGAUCCGCCACACUGGGACUGAGACACGGCCCAGACUCCUACGGGAGGCAGCAGUGGGGAAUAUUGGACAAUGGGCGGAAGCCUGAUCCAGCCAUGCCGCGUGUGUGAAGAAGGCCUUUUGGUUGUAAAGCACUUUAAGCGAGGAGGAGGCUACUUAGAUUAAUACUCUGGGAUAGUGGACGUUACUCGCAGAAUAAGCACCGGCUAACUCUGUGCCAGCCGCCGCAGUAACAC